rnacentral:rRNA from 1 species
AUUGCACGCUGGCGGCAGGCCUAACCCAUGCAAGUCGAACGAGUGGCGGACGGGUGAGUAAUGUCUGGGAACCUGCCUGAUGGAGGGGGAUAACUACUUGAAACGGUAGCUAAUACCGCAUACCAUCGGAUGUGCCCAUAUGGGAUUCGCUAGUAGGUGGGGUAACGGCUCACCUAGGCGACGAUCCCUAGCUGGUCUGAGAGGAUGACCAGACACCAUGGAACUGAGACACGGUCCAGACUCCUACGGGAGGCAGCAGUGGGGAAGAUUGCACAAUGGGCGCAAGCCUGAUGCAGCCAGGCCGCGUGUGUGAAGAAGGCCUUCGGGUUGUAAAGCACUUUCAGCGGGGAGGCGUUACCCGCAGAAGAAGCACCGGCUAACUCCGUGCCAGCAGCCGCGGUAAUUC